rnacentral:rRNA from 1 species
AGUGAACGCUGGCGGUAGGCCUAACACAUGCAAGUCGAACGGCAGCACAGUAAGAGCUUGCUCUUACGGGUGGCGAGUGGCGGACGGGUGAGGAAUACAUCGGGAUCUACUUUUUCGUGGGGGAUAACGUAGGGAAACUUACGCUAAUACCGCAUACGACCUACGGGUGAAAGCAGGGGAUCUUCGGACCUUGCGCGAUUGAAUGAGCCGAUGUCGGAUUAGCUAGUUGGCGGGGUAAAGGCCCACCAAGGCGACGAUCCGUAGCUGGUCUGAGAGGAUGAUCAGCCACACGGGAACUGAGACACGGUCCAGACUCCUACGGGAGGCAGCAGUGGGGAAUAUUGGACAAUGGGCGCAAGCCUGAUCCAGCCAUACCGCGUGGGUGAAGAAGGCCUUCGGGUUGUAAAGCCCUUUUGUUGGGAAAGAAAAGCAGCAGGUUAAUACCCCGCUGUUCUGACGGUACCCAAAGAAUAAGCACCGGCUAACUUCGUG